rnacentral:rRNA from 1 species
AGCGAACGCUGGCGGCAGGCCUAACACAUGCAAGUCGAACGGAUCCUUCGGGAUUAGUGGCGGACGGGUGAGUAACACGUGGGAACGUGCCCUUUGGUUCGGAACAACUCAGGGAAACUUGAGCUAAUACCGGAUGUGCCCUUCGGGGAAAGAUUUAUCGCCAUUGGAGCGGCCCGCGUCUGAUUAGGUAGUUGGUGGGGUAAAGGCCCACCAAGGCGACGAUCAGUAGCUGGUCUGAGAGGAUGAUCAGCCACAUUGGGACUGAGACACGGCCCAAACUCCUACGGGAGGCAGCAGUGGGGAAUCUUGCGCAAUGGGCGAAAGCCUGACGCAGCCAUGCCGCGUGAAUGAUGAAGGUCUUAGGAUUGUAAAAUUCUUUCACCGGGGACGAUAAUGACGGUACCCGGAGAAGAAGCCCCGGCUAACUUUGUGCCAGCAGCCGCGGUAACAC